UACGUAGGUGGCAAGCGUUGUCCGGAAUCAUUGGGCGUAAAGAGCGUGUAGGCGGCCCGGUAAGUCCGCUGUGAAAGUCGGGGGCUCAACCCUCGAAUGCCGGUGGAUACUGUCGGGCUCGAGUGCGGAAGAGGCGAGUGGAAUUCCUGGUGUAGCGGUGAAAUGCGCAGAUAUCAGGAGGAACACCAAUUGCGAAGGCAGCUCGCUGGGACGUUACUGACGCUGAGACGCGAAAGCGUGGGGAGCGAACAGG
rnacentral:rRNA from 1 species